rnacentral:rRNA from 1 species
UUAAUACAGUCUAAAUAAUUUACCGGAUCACUCAAUCGGUAGGAGCGACGGGCGGUGUGUACGGCUACCACAUCUAAGGAAGGCAGCAGGCGCGCAAAUUACCCAAUUCUAACAGCAUAAGAGAGGUAGUGACAAGAAAUAACAAUACAAGGUAAUUAAAUUGCUUUGUAAUUGGAAUGAUAGAAAUUUAAACACUUUUUAAAGUAUCAAUUGGAGGGCAAGUCUGGUGCCAGCAGCCGCGGUAAUUCCAGCUCCAAUAGCGUAUAUUAAAAUUGUUGCAGUUAAAAAGCUCGUAGUUGAAUUUCUGUUAAAAAUAACCGGUCUGCUUUUAUUAAAAGUGGUAUCUUGGUGUGUUUUUAGCAAUAAUGUCCUUUGAAAUGUUUUUUACUUUAUUGUAAUAAG